AACUUUUGACAAUGGAUCACUUGGUUCUGGCAACGAUGAAGAACGCAGCGAAAUGCGAUACGUAAUGUGAAUUGCUUUCCGUGAAUCAUCGAAUCUUUGAACGCACAUUGCACUCUUUUAGAGUAUGCCUGUUUGAGAAUCUAUAGUAUUAAUUUUUGGCUGUUUUUCUUUGGAAAAACAGGCAGAAGAUAUGGAGUUUCCCUCGCAAGAGGGUGCUUUCAAAUAGAUUGCCUUUGUAUUUGUUGGACUCGACGAAGUUUUUCAAAACCCGCAGAAAAGUAUUUGAAUGGAACCCUGGUUUCUCUUGAUGCUGAAUAUGCAGGCGAAAGAUGGAGUUUCCUUCAGGCAAAGGUCCAUACCUAUAAGUCAGUCUUAGGACUGGCUUGAACCAUGGUCUCAAAUCAGGUAGGAAGACCCGCUGAACUUAAGCAUAUCAAUAAGCGGAGGCU
rnacentral:misc_RNA from 1 species